UGCAGAGGGUGCAAGCGUUAAUCGGAAUUACUGGGCGUAAAGCGCACGUAGGCGGUUUUUUAAGUCAGAUGUGAAAGCCCCGGGCUCAACCUGGGAAUUGCAUUUGAAACUGGGGAACUAGAGUGUGUGAGAGGGGGGUAGAAUUCCAAGUGUAGCGGUGAAAUGCGUAGAGAUUUGGAGGAAUACCAGUGGCGAAGGCGGCCCCCUGGCACAACACUGACGCUCAGGUGCGAAAGCGUGGGGAGCAAACAGG
rnacentral:rRNA from 1 species